CGAUCACACAGCCUGGGGCUCCCCAAAAGCCAAUAUUAACACUGCGGAGGACAAGCAUUCCUCCCGCCGGUGGGGGACAUCCCGGCAACAACAGCACACCCUCCGCUGACUCACACAUCCCAGGGACUACAAUCUCCUAGAGUCACUGACCCCAAAAUGGCGGAUGCAACGAGCAAGCCGGCAAACGGGGGACUGCGGAGAGCAGCUGAAUAACACACUGAUCAAGCUGGACACUAUCCUUGCUGCCUUCUGGGCCGGGAUCUCGGAGAGGGCGCUGACCACAGCUAACGUCAAGCGGUCUAAUCCCGCGCAACUACACC